GACGAACGCUGGCGGCGUGCUUAACACAUGCAAGUCGAACGGAAAGGCCCUGCUUUUGUGGGGUGCUCGAGUGGCGAACGGGUGAGUAACACGUGAGUAACCUGCCCUUGACUUUGGGAUAACUUCAGGAAACUGGGGCUAAUACCGGAUAGGAGCUCCUGCUGCAUGGUGGGGGUUGGAAAGUUUCGGCGGUUGGGGAUGGACUCGCGGCUUAUCAGCUUGUUGGUGGGGUAGUGGCUUACCAAGGCUUUGACGGGUAGCCGGCCUGAGAGGGUGACCGGCCCCAUGGGGACGGAGAUACGGCCCAGACUCCUACGGGAGGCAGCAGGGGGGAAUUUUGCCCAAUGGGGGGAAGCCUGAUGCAGCAACCCCGCGUGGGGGGUGACGGCCUUGGGGUUGUAAACCGCUUUCGCCUGUGACGAAGCGUGAGGGGCGGUAAUGGGUAAAGAAGCACCGGCUAACUACGU
rnacentral:rRNA from 1 species